rnacentral:rRNA from 1 species
UACGGAGGGUGCGAGCGUUGUCCGGAAUCACUGGGCGUAAAGGGCGCGUAGGCGGCGCGGGGAGUCAACGGUGAAAGCUCGGCGCUCAACGCCGAGUCGGCCGUCGAUACUCCCGUGCUUGAGCACUGUAGAGGCAGGUGGAAUUCCGGGUGGAGUGGUGAAAUGCGUAGAGAUCCGGAGGAACACCAAAGGCGAAGGCAGUGUCCUGGGGAGUACCUGACGCUCAGGUGCGAAAGCCAGGGGAGCGAACGGG